rnacentral:rRNA from 1 species
AACGAACGCUGGCGGCAGGCUUAACACAUGCAAGUCGAACGCCCCGGUAACGGGGAGUGGCAGACGGGUGAGUAACGCGUGGGAACGUACCCUUUACUACGGAAUAACUCAGGGAAACUUGUGCUAAUACCGUAUGUGCCCUUCGGGGAAAGAUUUAUCGGUAAAGGAUCGGCCCGCGUUGGAUUAGCUAGUUGGUGGGGUAAAGGCCUACCAAGGCGACGAUCCAUAGCUGGUCUGAGAGGAUGAUCAGCCACAUUGGGACUGAGACACGGCCCAAACUCCUACGGGAGGCAGCAGUGGGGAAUAUUGGACAAUGGGCGCAAGCCUGAUCCAGCCAUGCCGCGUGAGUGAUGAAGGCCCUAGGGUUGUAAGGCUCUUUCACCGGUGAAGAUAAUGACGGUAACCGGAGAAGAAGCCCCGGCUAACUUCGUG